rnacentral:rRNA from 1 species
UACGGGGGGGGCAAGCGUUGUUCGGAAUUACUGGGCGUAAAGGGCUCGUAGGUGGCCAACUAAGUCGGACGUGAAAUCCCUCGGCUUAACCGGGGAACUGCGUCCGAUACUGGUUGGCUUGAGUUUGGGAGAGGGAUGCGGAAUUCCAGGUGUAGCGGUGAAAUGCGUAGAUAUCUGGAGGAACACCGGUGGCGAAGGCGGCGAUCUGGGUCGAUACUGACGCUGAGGUGCGAAAGCGUGGGGAGCAAACAGG